rnacentral:lncRNA from 1 species
CUUCGCAAAAAUGACGGAGGACGCCCUUCAGAAAGGGGAUGCUCUCCAGAGCCUGGAUGGCACAGUGGCCCUGGAAAAUAAGAAGGGCCAAACCCUGGAUUUUGCCAACCUGUGGAUGCAAUCAGCAAAUGAGAGCGCUCCGUGGCAUGAAGUUAAUUGAUGCUUUCAUUUCCCUUAACGGGAUGAAAAUGAAGUAAGGAAGACAUAGAAAACAAGACAUAUGUUGGUUGCUCAUGUCACUGGUUGGUGACAUGAGCAACUUCUUUGCUGAAUCAGGUACGAGUUUUCUUCCCCCCACACUGGGAGACUGUUUCCUCAAUUUGUUUCUGCUCCAUGAUCCUGUCUCUUCUCCUUACCUCUUUUUUACAUACUGGGUUUUCUGCCUGCCCCAACACAGCUGCCAUCUCUUCUUAAGCUCAGAGAUAAGUAACACUUAAGUUUAAUCUAUACCUUUAAUGUCUUCUCCAUUACUUUCUUAAGUCUAGAUCAGGGGUCCAGCAAACUGUGGCUCUCAGGCCAAAUCUGGCCCACAGUUUUUUUUUUUUUUUAGAUAAAGUUUUAUUGCAACACAGGCACACCUAGUCAUUUACAGAUUGUCUACCGCUGCUUUCAGGCAGAGUUGAGCAGUUACAACUGAGACUGCCUGGUCCACAAAGCUGAAAACACUUACUUUACAGGAAAACUUUGCUGAUCUCUGCUCUACACAAUCAACAAAGCAAUAAAUCAAGCCUUGAUUUGUAGUCUUUGCCAACUUCCAUGUGUAAAUACUUCCACCAUGGCCAAUUUCCAGCCACCAACACAUGUGGCUGGGAACAGAUGCACAUAGCACACCAUUAUAUAUAUAUUAUAUUAUAUAUAUAUAUA